UAGGGAAUCUUCCGCAAUGGACGAAAGUCUGACGGAGCAACGCCGCGUGAGUGAUGAAGGCUUUCGGGUCGUAAAACUCUGUUGUUAGGGAAGAACAAGUGCUAGUUGAAUAAGCUGGCACCUUGACGGUACCUAACCAGCAAGCCACGGCUCACUACGUGCCAGCAGCCGCGGUAAUACGUAGGUGGCAAGCGUUAUCCGGAAUUAUUGGGCGUAAAGCGCGCGCAGGUGGUUUCUUAAGUCUGAUGUGGAAGCCCACGGCUCAACCGUGGAGGGUCAUUGGAAACUGGGAGACUGGAGUGCAGAAGAGGAAAGUGGAGUUCCAUGUGUAGCGGUGAAAUGCGUAGAGAUAUGGAGGAACACCAGUGGCGAAGGCGACUUUCUGGUCUGUAACUGACACUGAGGCGCGAAAGCGUGGGGGGCAAACA
rnacentral:rRNA from 1 species